AUUGAACGCUGGCGGUAUGCCUUACACAUGCAAGUCGAACGGCAACGCGUUCUUCGCUUUCCCUUCGAGUUGCCGACUGGUGGGUGAUAUAUCGGAACAUGCCCAUCAGCUUGGUAUAAGUGCUCGACGGAGCAGCUCAUACCGCAUACGACCUUACGGCGUAAGGGUGGGAUCACAGGACCUUUCGCCAUUGGACCAUCCGAUGUCCGAUUAGCUAGUUGGUGGGGUAAAGGCCUACCAAGGCAACGAUCCGUAGUUGGUCUGAGAGGACGACCAGCCACACUGGAACUGAGACACGGCCCAGACUCCUACGGGAGGCAGCAGUGGGGAAUAUUGGACAAUGGGCGCAAGCCUGAUCCAGCAAUGCCGCGUGCAGGAAGAAGGCCUUCGGGUUGUAAAGUGCUUUUGUCAGGGAAGAAAAGUUCUAGGCUAAUACCCCGCUGGGAUGACGGUACCUGAAGAAUAAGCACCGGCUAACUACGUG
rnacentral:rRNA from 1 species